UGUAGGAUAAAGCGAGUGACAGCAAUGUCAUUCAUAUUUUCACCACAAGAUGACACAAUGUAAUGUUAUCUGAUACUACCAGUUCAACUUUUAAAAUAAAGAGUGAACUGCAAUGGUAAGAGGGAUCUCUAAGAAUGUUCAGGUGUUCCAAAAAAACAAUCCGUGAUUGUGAGAGCACUAUUUGUCCUCUUGCUCUGUCUGUGGCAGGUGCUCUGCAGGUCAUCUCCAUUGGAUGGAAAGGGUAGGGCAGUAGAGUGACUCAGUCUUGAGGAUGAUGAGUGUUAAAUGGCUCCACAAGAUCACAAAGUGGUGCGCAUAAGCCUCGUGACUCGCUGGUACAGCUGCUGGACAACUGUCAUGAGAUUCCUAAAAUGGUUUGUCAAAAGAGCACAAAAGACAUGAUCAGUGAGUGGUGCCAAACACAGAAAACUGUUCAAGACUCACCGGGUGCUGAUGGAGACACAGUUGUUGGGGUUCAAGCAGAAGAGCGAAGCCACGCAGUAGACACAGCCCAACAACAUGGACAGCAGCCGUCUCUUUAAAGACAUCUUUAAUUCACAGUCCAAACGAUUCUCAACUUCAGUGUUCAACUUCAGAGUUCAAGCCCAAGAGGAGAUUCGGUGGUGGUGAACCCUUGUGUAAAAUGUCACCAACAUCCCGGAUGUCUGCACCAGGGACUCUUCGAGGGGACUGGGAUGACAGCCAGAUAGCAGGCUGGACAAGAGUCAGAUGCAGAGGAACCACAGCUGCAGACGAGAGAGCUACAGCAGAGAAACUUYGACAGCAGCAGUCUUUGCACCUUCUCUGUCAUCCGUCCUAGGGGCUUCAUUGUGGUGUUCUGUGCUGGCUUCUUCACCAUCCUCUCUGUCUUCACCUACUUCUACCUGGAGAUCCUGAAGAUUGCCUGCGGCCACCAGAUGCAGAUCCGUCAGGCCAGCUAAAGGCUUCCACAGCGCAGCCACUACUGGGGCCACGUCAAGGCCCUGAGGACUGUGGCUCUGCUGGUGGGCUGUUUCACCAUCUGCUGGUGCCCUUUGUAGUGUGUGUGUGGUGCAGGUGCUGUGUGAGGGCUGUGAAUUGUACAAGGUGCUGGAGAACGACCUGUAGCUGGUUGGGACUGUCCAACUCCCUCAUCAACCCUCUGGUGUACACCUGCUGGCAGAGGGAGGUGUGGCUGAAGAUCGGGGCACUCAUCUUCGUUAAGGACAGGUUCAGGAACACAGCUGUGUUAGAGGCUAGUGAGAGAUGUCAGACAGAGCUGCGUAUACUGCGUACACUUAUACUGUUAUAUCUGUGGACGAUGCCAUGAGCCUGGACCGCACCUUCCCCCGGUCACCACUGAACAGGGCCACACUGUAUCGCUUUCGGCCUCAACCACCUUGUAAAUGACUUAAACAUUUUGAGAACAACUCAUUGAGGUUUAAUAAACCAAUUUGAACACUUACUGUGGCAGCUUAGCGCUUUCUCCAUUUCUGGUAGAAACGGUUCACGUCACACAUCUGGCGACAGCAACCAACUGACAAAAACAACGAAAAGUGGAAAAAUAACAGUGAGAUAAUGGAUGUGGAGACAUCAUGAAACCUAUUUGCUGUUUUUCCGCUCUGUUUCCUCUACUAACCUAAUUGAUAUUAUCUCUGCAAAGUAUGCACUUUGUCCCUCUGCAUUCCCACCCAGCUAGCACAUAAUGCUCUGAGCGCUAUAUGUUUCUUAGAGCGUAAUUGUUCUGGGAAUGGUGCAGGAUAGU